CUUGUAAAUAUGUAAAAUUGUCACGUAUUUCAUGCUGGUAAUUUAUCGUGGACGUGAACUGCCAGUUUUUGCUUAUGCAACUUUAUUUCAAAGUCACAAAAGAGGAUGGGAAGAAUGGGAAAAACACUGAGUGAAGGAUGAUUUGUGCUAACCUGGUGACAUUUAUCAGCUGUUGGGCUGCUUGCUUUUACCAGCUGCACUGGCACAGCCAAACACCUCAGGCUGUUGUUGUGUGUCAUAGCAGAACAUUCCCAGCCAGGUAAUAAUUAGCAUUGACUCCAUGAUUCCAGAAGACUGACCAAACACUUUAUUAUUCUAUAUUAUUAAGAAACCCUUUGCCUUUAUAGACAACCACAAUACAGGUCGACCUAAUUGGUCCUUUAAUUAAAACACCAUCACAGUUGGCCAAUUAAGAAACCACCCUUUGCCUUCCCCAGGACAAUGCCUGGGAAAGUUGUGCCUGCUGCUCUCUGUGGCCAAAGCUGCUGCCACAGCUCUGUGGUGUCUGCUGUGUUUUGGGGUGCCCCGAGGAGCCAAUUUCAGCACUUACAAAGGACCUGCCAUCGCUUGAGCUGGACCAUGUAGAGCACAUACAGAAACCAGGAGGCAAGUGGUAAUGUAAGCUCACCUGGGAGUUACACUUGACCUGAGGUUUCCUCCAGUUCUGUAUAAUGAACUCGAGAGAGUGGUGCUUGAUAGCUCGUAUUAGCAGCUGGGAAUUAAAACUGAUAUUGCUAAGCAGCAAAUACAGUGGCAACAGAGAGGAUUAGAGGAACAGGCACAGCUCAGGACUGAAAUAUUAAUCUAAUUAUUUACAAUUCCAGUUAUGCCCAAUGCAUGAACUGAAUGUUCAGCAGCACCUGGAGUGUUUGCUACCCACUGAGCUCCCAGCAGCAAUAGUUUUCAGAAAUUUGAGAGAUUGUUUUUAAAGGAGAUCCUAAACUCUAUGGUGAAGCUGCAUUUGCUGUAACUCCAGGGACAGAAGAAAAACCCCAAAGUGUCAAAUACUUACCAUGACGUCUGUGGAAGAUGAAACACUACAAUUUCCAGCUGAACAUUAAAAACCAAAAAACCAAAACUGAAACAUUUGUGAAUAGGUACUAAUCAAAACCCAGUGUCAGCAAAAUAAUAAUAUUCUUGAUAAAGAUUCAAUUGAAAAAUACUAAGAAAAUAUUGCAUCUUCCCAGAAGCUGUACUGGUGCAAAAAUGGUAUGAUUCACCCUUGCAAAAAGGAUAUGGAUAAGGGAAUGGAUGCUUUGAUCCCUGCAGAACAGAGCAGAUGUAUGUGCUUCACGUUACCCACCGACUGUGCCACCCUGACUUUCAUGUAUGGUGUGCUGUGUGCUUUGCUGGAGCACCACCUCAUUCCCAGGAAAUGAUGAAUCACAAAAUCACACAGAAUGGGUGAAAGGGAUCACUGGAGGUCAUCUGGUCCAGCCUCCCUACUCCCCUAAAGCACAUCACUGAGGAAUGUGUGGAAACCAUGUGAGUAUCUCCAGAGAAGGAGACUCCACAACCUCGCUGGGCAGCCUGCUCUGUGCUCAGAAUGAACAGGAAGCUUCACUUUCCAGACCUCUGGAUUUUUCACAGCUUUUGUGACUGCAGAGGUGAAAGCAGUUGUAACAUAUUCUUUUCCUUUGGGGGUUUUUUUAUCUUUUUGGCAUCCCCAAGGCAGCAAGUGUGCUGAAUACAACGUGUAUACACACUCCUUGCUGUUCAAGGCAACAUUAGGUUGAAGGAUGGGGCUUGCAGAGGCAGUGUCAGAGCCCAGAGUUGGCCAUGUGUUUGCCCUCCCUGCUGGAAGUGGCUGAAGUGGCACUGUGUGUCCUUGUGCAGGUGUGGAGCUGCAUGGUGGCCUCAUGGUGUGUGCCACGCUCAGGAUGGCACCUUCUCUGCCCUGGCUGGCAGGGGUUGCUUACCCUGACUCAGGCUGUUAAAGAUCCUGGGAGCUCUAUGCUGAGGAGAGUAGAAUAUGCCCAAGGGAUUUGCUUUGUUUCACUUUCUGUUUUACUUAGUACAAAGGAAAAUACUUCCCAGUAGAAGCCCGUGGGAGCAGCUUUUGUCUCAUCUGGUUUUGCUGUUUGAGAAUCAGAUGAAGCCAAGAAGAGUUUCUGCAAGAGCAGCCCCAUGCUCAUGGAAACAGAGUGGCAGGUUUCACUGUGCCAGUUUGUACUUUAGAGAACUGGACGGGGGGGAGAAUGUCUACAGGCUGGGACUGCCUAAAGCUUUCUUAAAUUCAGUCAUGCCCCUGGUCCCCAGAGUGUGCUGUGGGUGGCACAACCCCUUUAUCCAUUUUUAAUGUUGAAAUUCAGUUUGAAAUGAGAGCAGGUUGAAAUCUUGUGCCUCUCUAUGCCAGAGAAAACACUGAGUAAGUUCAAAUAGCCCAGUAUUUAUUAUCCCUGUCAUGCUCCAAGGUUUAAAAAGAAAUGAUAACCUUUUUUCCCCUCCCAAACUGUAUCUUGCAGAAUCAUUUCCAGAUUCUGUAGCUGAGAUGUAAAUGUGAUGGAUGUGAUGGAAUUACUGAGUUGACUAACACGACCACAUUAAGUAAUCUUAAUGACACUUGGACUAAUUGCUUGGGUACACUGGUGUUUUCUAAGUUUUAAACUUAUGAAUCCUGCCCACACAUAAUCUGCGUGCUUCACUGAUCCUUUUCUCCCUUGCCUCUGUGGAGAACCUCUGUCCCUGGCCCCUUGAAAUAAGUGCUCAGUCAUACAUUCAGCUGGACCUGUUCUGUGAGGGCUGCUGCUCAGAGUGAGCAAAGAGACUGGGAGAAAACAACCUGCAAACCAGCAGUGUGUUGAAGAGAGAAAGAGAAAUUCCCAUAAAUUACAUGUAUUUGAGGAAUAUGUGUGUUCUGGGAAAUAAAGGUAAGCAAGUUGAAGACGGUUCCAUGCUGCGUUAUUUCAGCCCAUAUUCAGUACAUUCUAACAGCUCCCAUUUCCUACCUGAGUCAGGUUCAACACAUUCUCCAAUUGCCAGGAAAACAGCAAGUUAUAUGGAAACACUGAGCUGCUGGUAUCUGAGGCUGGACCCAGAGACAAGCAUGAGUUGUUGUCAACAUACAGAAAUGCAGAUUUACUGUGUGUAAUAUUUUUUACAAUGGUUCAAAAUUAUGUGAUCUAGAAAUCAAUAGUGUUGAUAAUUCUAAUGAGAAAAAGUAUAAAGAUUAUCAAUUUUAAUGUGGUGUUAGAGGAGAAGCUGAAGGCUUUGAUUCUACUAUUUUUUCCCCACAUCUUGUAGAGAACAGGCUGCUGCUUUGCACACACAUAUAGCAUACUAAUAAGAUAUUAUUUUCCACCUCUCAGAUCUCUUUUGAAUUCAAAUAUACCUAUUAGCACCUUUACAACUCAGCUUAUGCAUAUCCCAAGCCUAUGUGAUUAACUAUUUCUACUGUACCAUUUGGUGGGUGGCAUUGCAAAUUACAGAAUAACACAGGGAAACAGAGUUUUCUGCUGUGGGUCUUAACACUGUGUAUGGAAAAUGCAGAGAAGCAAAAAAGGAGAGAGAUUUAAAGUCAUUUGGAUGUGCAUUAUUUAAGCUGGCAGGGAUUCAGGGCUUGUAAUUUUAAGGCUGUGUAUGGGUCAGGGUGGUGACUGGUGAAGGGAAGCCUUGAUAAGGGUUUUGAAGGCUGUUUCAGGAGUAGAGGUCAGCAGCAGUACAAGUCUGAUGGAGGAAAUGUGUGUGGUGAGACCUGUGCCCCAAAGGAAGGUGCAGAGUGAGAGCUGGCUCAGGACAGUCAGCAGGGAGGGCAUUACCUCUUCUGACUCUGGGCUGAGGUAUUUGGCUGUUCCUGCUGUAGCAAGAUGAUGGUGGAAGAUGGAGACAGACUUUGCAUGGGGAACUGAGGGAGGAAGAACAAGGGAAAAAAGGGAAACAAAGAGCUUGUUUUGGUGUGACUGUGAGAUGUCACAGUGGUGAGGCACACCUGCCUGCACAGCCCAGUGCCACCUCUGGGAGCACCCUCUUGUCUGGCUGUGGAGAGCUCUUGGUGUGGGUGAGAAAGGCAGUGAACUCACUCUGCUGCUCUGCUAAACAGCUCCUCCACGAGCUUUGUGGGAGCCUGGGGCUGUCCUCACCUGGCUUCUGAGAGCAGCUUCAAUACCUGAACAGUCUUAUCAUGUUUUAUGUUUCCAGGCAACUUUGAAAGCUGCACUCCACUCCCAGGAGGGCAUCAAGGGUCUUUCUGCUGAAGACAAUAAAGAGUGAGUCAGGUCUGCAGGCUGCAUCAAUCUAGGGCUUUUUUUUUUCAUCUUAUAUACAAUUUUUUUCCAGGAGACAAAAAUAAAAUGUUGGCUUUUCUGAAAUGUGCUGUUGGUGGGAUGAUCCAGCUCUGGCAGUAGAACUGGGGUAUGGCAAUAUUGACUAUCAUCUGCUGCACUGCUCUCAGAGUCCUGGUGACUCUCAAGCUAGUGUUAAAACUAGCUUAAAACUGACCUGUCUUGAUGCUUUCCUGCUCAGAAACUUUGGCAUUGUGGCUGAAGAAGAGAGGAUUAAUUUGUCAGGAGGUGCUGCUGGUUACAUUUGAGGUAUGGGCCUGCACCACCUACUGCAAGGGUAUAAAACUGAAUUGUUUCCUUACUUCUCCUUGAAUUUAGCACCAGUUCUACACUGUUUUCUGGAAUGAUGACCUACUCUGCUUCUCAUUUCUGGGGGCUGGUUUGGACAAGCAUCUGUCUGACCCUGAUCUCCAAGUGUUGCUUUUCAUUACAGCCCAGAUGGGGCAGGGACUAUGUGCUCUUCUAGGCUUACCUCCAAAGGACUCUCCAGAGACUUCAAAGCAGUGUUCACUAUGGUUUCUACUACCUGCAUGGAACAGAUGUUCCAAAUUUUGGGGCCUUUUUUGAAGAUAUUACUCUUUUUUUUUUUUUUUAAUCCUUAAAGUCCUUGUUGUUAAUGAAGUUGCUUGCUAGGGACCUUUUGUAGAGUACUGUUGUCUUUUGUCCUGUAACCUGCUGGCUUGCUGUCACCAUGGGCCAUAGCCAUAGAAAAAUGUCUGCCUUUGCCUUUAGAGUAGUGAUGCUUAGUGGAUUUGACAGUCAAGUAGAGUUGCAACAUGAGCAACUCCUGAAGUUAGGUAAGUCUGAGAGCCUCACUGUUAUCCUAAACUCCGUGAGCUCAGUUUAACUUGGAUGCUCUUUAGUCUGGUACAAGACUGAAGCCAGUGUCAACAUUUUAAAGUAAAUCCAGUUCAUGACUUGUCACAUUAUAAGAAUAGCCCCAUUAUGCUCAAGCAAAGGCCCAUCCAGCUCAGCAUCCUGUUUCUGACAGUCGCUGAGAAUUAAGGAAAGGGUGUAACUGCAGGGCAAGUAUUGAGUGAUAUUUCCCCAGUAUGUUCUCCCACCCCUCAGCAGUUUAUGGCUUAAAGAUUUUCUGAUCUCUCUGUUUAAUAAGUUUUUGUGGCCUUAUCUUUUGUAGAUUUGUCAGAUUCUGCUUUUGCUUUCAGCAUCAGCAGCACUUCUGGCAAUGAGUUUAGCAACUUCAUGAUUCACUCUGUCAGAAAGUCCUUGCUUUUGUUUGUUUGAAAGCCCUGGCUGAAGAUUUCAUGUGAUACACCCCUCUCAUAUUUUGAGAAACAAAACUUUUUAUUCAUCUCUUUCAUGCCACUCAUGAUUUUAUAGAGCUCUGAUGAGAACCUAAAGUGAAUGACUUUUAGUAUGAUUUAAGGCUCUGUAUUAUGUCUUAUGCUUUCUGGCUGUUUAUAUUCCAUUUGAUUUUACUUUAUGUUUAUUUUGUCUUUAUUUCACAAAUUUAAUCAUUUUGAGAAGAUUAUUUUUUCUAAUUAAGGUAGAAUUAAUCCAGGGGCAGUGAUAAUUUGAGAGCCAGGAUUUGAAGGUAGUUUAUUUAAUCUGUCUUCAAAUCCUUUGGAUUCAAUUUGCCCAGCUUUCAUACUGAUGGAUGCUGUAUUAAAUUAUUUAAAUAGAUGAAUUAAAUUUGGAGCAAACAGAGGCUAAUGCAUUUCACCCUCAAAUAACACGCCUCUGUAGCCAGGGAGCUUUUCUAGGAGAACUGAGGAGACAGCAGUGAGCUGGAAGCACUGUAUGCAAAACAGGGGGUAAGGGCCACACAAAAACCCCUUUGAUUUAUCCUCUAGAACUAAUUUGUCGAUUCCUUGUGGUCACAUUAGCAGACUGGAGCCAAGAAAGAAACCUCACAGAGAUUGACCAUGUGAGCUGAAAUAAUAAGCAGCUGUUGCUCAAGAGAAAGCUCAGACCAGACUUGCAGAAAUGUAAUUAGCAGCAUGCUGGCUGAGCUGUUUGCAUUCCUAGAGCCUGCAUAGUGCCCUUCUGGGGGGCAGUGGUAAUUUUUAGUCUCUCUUUUGGAGAAAGCAUCUUUCUCUCUAACAAUCAGGGCUGGAAAGGUAUAAAAGAGAUGGGAAAGAGUGGAAUAUACUCUGCAGUACUCAGGGACACUAGAUGGGGAUAUUUGCUCACUUUGUGGCUCUUGGUGUCCCUCCCAGCUUUGGUGGGGAUGUUACCAAGGUGCAGGGAGGGCUGGUGACAUGCAGAGGAAGGGACAGAUCAGAGGGGGUUGCAUGGGGGGACCUGUGAGGAAUCUACACCUUCGUUGCCAUUUCUCACUCUGUGGUUUCCAUCUCAAACACAGCUGGUCUGUACAGCUCAGGACAUGCUGAGGUCUCUCUUCUGGCUGUGAAACACAGCUCAGCAUCAUGUGGGACAGCGUGGUCAUGGUUCUUCCUCUGCACUGGGAGGAAGAAGGGCCAAAUCUUUCCUAUGGGAGAGGGAGAGCCAAAACCAUGGCGAUGUUCCUUUGUGGGCCCAAAGCAUUGCUGCUGUAGGUGGCAUUGGUGUGUUUGUGAGGGCAAAAAAGGGGCAUGAAGCUACUUUUUGUAUUCCUUUGCACAUGUUUGGCUUGCCAAGUCGCUGUUGUUUAAAGCAGGAGACUCCUUCCCUGCCUCAGAAGUCUUGGCUGCCUGUGAAGUGUGAGGCAGGGUGAAGAUGGGCUGCUGAGCCAAGUGUCUGACAGGGACAGACUGCUGCCUUUGCAGCCCCUGGCAGAGCCCCUGGGCUGGAGUGGGCUUUGGGCAGGCCCAGAGAAGAGCACAGUCACAAGCACGGGGAUUCACGUGUCACUGGUACUUGGGACAGAUUUCAAAGGUGCCCAUGGGAUGCAAGGUAGAGCUGAUGUGUUCUGGCUCUGUGGGAUGCUGGUGGCAGUGUUGGUAAAUGCUGUUGCAUAUAUUCUCUGCGUGGUCAGGCUGAAAAAAGGACUCCAAAGAAAAUAAGAAAGCCUUGAAUUCCCUUGUUAGGCUGGUGAGUGGAAAAUGGGAAAAGAAGUUGUGUUGUUGAUAGCCUUUGAAAUCCAUAAAGGACAGACCAUAUCUCUUACUAACAAUCGUGGGACAGAUGUAAUAAAAACAACUUGCUUGAAUCAAAUAUCUACAUUUAGUGUAUUAGGAAGAAGCUCUUUUGAUUUUUUUUGUGUUUUAUUUUGUUUUGUUUUUUUGUGUCCAUAUACACUCAGAGGCAGAGGUUCUGGGUGACAACCAUUUGCCAAUAUCUGCUGAUAUCAGAAUUUGUUUCAGCCUUGAAUAUAAUAUUGAAUGGUCAGUGAAGUCAAAGGAUAGAGAGAAAGCUGCUGAGCCAUAGAUGGGUCCCCAUGUUUGCUCUGACAUUAAACACUCCCAGUGUCCUCUCUCACCACCUCUGAUUGCUGUUAUUCCCAGCAAGGAAGUUGUUAAGUCAUAGAUUCCAGAUGACUGUUAAGGUCUCUUCCAAUCCAAACCAUUCUAUGAUUUUACUUCCCAAAGAUCAUUUGAGGUAAAGAAAACAGAUUUUCUCCAAGUCCCCUUUUGUAUUCUAGAAAUUUUAGAAAGUUCAGGCUUUGGUGUAAUAAAAGGUAUAGUUGAUUUUCAGAAGUAACAAAUAUCCUUUUUUUCCCCUACAUAGGUUCGCACCUUCAUUGUACUUCUCUUAAGGCUUGCCUAUUGCAGGUUUUGUCUACAGCCUAGCAUUCAGCAUACAAACACCUUCUGUGUAAAAUUAACAACUGGUGGAAAUGUUUGGCUGAGCUAGUGGAGGUUUUUACAUUUGCCUUUUCAGAAGGCUUCCUGAGCUAGAUUAUUUUUCUUGGUUCAGUUUCUGACUCUUAUUUUUUUCUCUUUAGCUUUGACAGUAUAUGUUUAGAUGAAAAAAAAAAAGGGGUGGAGGAGCUCUGUGAGUGACUCCUUUGAUGAAACAUUAAUUGGUAUCUACACAUGUAGAGGUAGCAAACUGCUAUUCUUGAAAUAGGAUCUCUACCCUUUUUUGUGUAAGGGCUUGCAUUUCUGAAAGGGAUGAAUUUCUUAAGCUUAUUGCUUUGGAUUUUUUUUCAAGUGGAAACAGAGUUUUCUCUUCAACAAACUCCAGUCUCCAAUCCCUGACUUUGGGCUUGCCUACAUUUGGAAAUGUACCAAAAUAACUAUUCCAGAAUAAGAUCCCAGGAGGAUAUUUUAGAACUAGAUUAAAUUAAAUUGGAAAUAAGAACUCUUAUUUUGGAAUAAGAGUGUCUGCUUGGGGAUUUAUAUUGAAAUAAACUGUCUCAGAAUAAUUGUAACUAUUUUGGUAUAUUUCCAAGAGCAGACAAGAGCUGAGCAAUGUUCUGAAAUAAUUAUAUUAAAAUCUCAUGGAUGUGAUGGAUAAUGGGGAAAAAUGUCAAUACUGAAUUAGAAAAAUUUGGAGUGAUUGUGUCUGAGGGUGUCAUGCACUUGUUCAGUGGGGUUUUUUGAGUUUAAGCAAAAGAUCCCACCCUUCAGGCUAUGUAUAUAAUUUGUUAUUAAUAUUUUAGUAGCAACACUACUGUGCUAGGAACAGUCUUACAGACACAGGUCCCACCUCUGCACAACCUGCAGUCUAGAAAUCAUCCCUUUUCUUUGUAAUGCUAUAGAUGUCAGCAUGUCUGUUUUCCAGAUAAAAUAAGAGUUCUCAGCUCUUCAUAACGCUCCUUCUUUAAAACAUUGUUUAUAACACUCCUUGUUUGUAAUACUUAUAACACUCCUUGUUCAGGCAAAACUGCUACUUAGGUUUGUUUUAUUUUCUUGAAGGAAAACAGAAGAGGAUAAUUACAAGAAGACAGAAAUGAUAAAAACCACGCGUUUAUUCUUUAUUUGUAGUUACUGUGCCACCCCUCUCUGCUUGGGUUGCUGUAGGUGGCACGUGAGUCAUUAUUGGUAAGACAGAGUCAUUAUUGGUAAGGCAGAAGCCAUCAUGUGCUUCAUCAGUCCUGUGGCAGGGAGCCAGUACAGAUGUGAAAUGAAUAUAUCAUCCCAAUGUACAAACACACAGGCUGUAUGGAGUGCUAGUCUAAAGCAACACUUUCUCAUUCAAUAAGGCAUGCUCACAGCUGAGAAAGUUUUGUUAUCUGCCUGGGUAAGAUUUUUUUUUCUCCCUUUAGGCACUUUCAUUUGUGCCUUGAGUGGAGGUUGCAGGAAUUUUCUCUGUGGCAAGAAAAGGUCACACACUGUAUUUACUCAUAUUCUAAUCUCCCAGGUACAUUCAAUACUAUUUUGGUUCCAUACUGGAGGUCUGAAAGAAAAAGACAUGGAAAUUCAGUGGCACAAUUUCAAGGUUAUCCCACAGGCCAGCAAAUCCAAAAUGUGAUUUUUUCUUCCCUUUAUGAUACGUCAUAAUAGAAUAAGUUUAUGUAGUACGAAAGCGAAAGGCAGUUUCUCCCUAUCAAAUUAUCAUAUCUAGCAUCAAGCCUGUGCUUGAAGGUAAUUCUAGCUAAUCCUUUGUAGCAAUAAAUAUCUAUUACAUUUAUCACAUUGAAUUUGUUUCCCCUUCAUUUCAUCCAAUUACCUUUUCUACAACUGCAAAAUACAUCAGAGCUGUCUCAACACAUUUUUUUAUGGAUGUUAACUUACUAUUCUCUUCUUGAUCUUCUGUCAAGAUGUGCUUUAAUUAAAAUGUUCAUGUAACUUGUUCAAGUUUAUCCUUCACUCCUUCAAUAUCCAGAUAAUUGAUGGGUUUGCUUUUAAAAGUGGAAUAGAGCAGUCCCAAGAACUGGGCUAGGACUGAAAUUCUGUAGGUGUAAAAACUUCUAAGCAGGUUGCUAUAAUGUCAGAAUUUAGGAUAUUAUGGUCAGAGGGCUGUCAGCAUUACUAUUACAAAUAUCUUUAUCUGGUGUUUUGCUAUUGAAAUUCCCAUAGGAAAUACAGAUAUAAAUGGCCUCAAUCAGCCAAUCUUUUUUCAAAUUAAAAAGACAUAUGGUUUCAUAGUGUGAAAAGACAGUUGGUGCUGCUCACUCAGCAGCUCUGGGACAUUGACACUGUGGCAGCUCCUGGAAGACAGCAAGUUUUCCCUCUGCUUUCCUAUAGAGCCUGACCUGUGGGCUCCCCACACGAUGGCACCUCCGGGAUUUCUUUUCCAGUGGGAGUGUUUGUGAAGUUUGUGUGCACAGUGCAGGGAUGGUGCUGCUGUUUUCUCAACUGCAUCUCAUGUUUCUUUCAGCUCCUUACCCCCAUGUGCAAAUCACGGUGUUAGGCAAGAUGUGUGGGUUGCUUGUAUGUGUUGUUCAUAUUCAAGACAAGCUUUUUUUAGCUGGGGUGAUGUGAGGCCAGAAGAUGGAUUAAGACAGAAUGAAUGGAGGGAUUCAGAAAUCUGUGAUUGGUAAAGGGUUGUCAUUAAAUGGGAGAGUUUUAAUUGAACUCUGCAGCCUUGGCUGCUUUCCUCCAAACGACUCACCAAUCCUGACAGUAACAAAUAAGGUAAAAAUCUUUGUGACAGGUAUCUUGCAGAUUUCAUGGUGGCUUCCCUGUGCCAGUGAUGAGCAGUGGGCUGCUGGGUGAGCUAUCCAAGCUGCUUGGCUGUACAGUUGUUUUGCCAGAUGUACACAAAGCUAUUGAGAAAGCACAUUGGAAUAAGGAAAGAAAACACUGGGGGCUGUUUCAGCCAAAUGACCUUGAGAGAAACAUCUACAACACUUUACACAAGUGCACAAAACCAGCUCCUCCUUAAGAAAGGGAAAAGAGUAGAUGUCCAAAGGCUCAGCUGUAGGAGACUUUCCAGCUAUCAGGGUGAAACUUCUCUGUUCUUUAGGGCCAGCCUGAGGAAACAAGAAAAGGUAUAGGAAAAAGGAUUAACUUCUUCAAAUGUCUUUAUUGCCUUCUUCUCAGCAUAUGUUCUUUAAGGGAGAUGAUGCAGGAGACUAAUUACUGAGGUUAAUGUUCUGAAAUCCUUCCUUACUCAAGGCUAUUUAUGUGGUUGAGGAGAUGUUAAUACCUGCAAUCAGUCACAGAUUCACGGGGGAAGGUGCUGACCUUUUGAAGACUACGGGGCUUAGGCCCCCGAAUUCAACAGUCAGGUGUUGUCUGAAAUCCCCUCUUUUUAUUUCAACCAUCACAGAAAUCCCAAAAGGGUUGGUUGCAACAAAACAUUUGCAAUAUGAAUGCAAGAAAAUGAAAAUCCUGACUUAAAAAGGGAUGCAUCUCCCCAUCUGUUCUAUGCUUAUUUAGAAACUUUCAGGUUUUGGGGAGAUGUUGGCAGCUUCUCUCAUCAGGGAGGAUUCCAGGUGGUUAUUGCUCUGCCCUGAGUUCUCUCCGAGGAAGGCGCAGAGGAGGAACUCUGCUGCUCUGGGAUUAUGUGCUGCUGGAGAAGAAAUAAAACUGCCUUAAGGCAGGCUCACAAUGCAACAGCCUAAAGGAAGAUCUGGCAGGUGUCCAAAAUGUCUGCUCCCCUCUGCUCUCCUGAUGCUUCAUCAAUCAUAUCACCUGUGUGUCAUGAUUGUCAGCAUGGAGAAAAAUAUUUGGAGUGUUCUGAUUUCCUCUUACACUGGCAGGGUGGUUUGUUACUAGGAAAAGUGCCUUUUUAUGGAUAUUAGUUCCUUAAAUCAGGAGUAUCCACCUGGGAAGAGAGCCCACAGAAACAAACCCACUGUAGUAAAAGUCCGUGAAGCUCUGCAAUUUAUACUUUCUACAGGAAGAUGAAUAUGGAUACGUUAAUCCACAUAAACAUACACAUGAUAACAUCAGUUAGACAAAAAGGUGAACCACAUUCAGAACAACCUGGUUUUCAUGCAUGCAGACCUCUCUGGGUUCCAGGUGAGUUUUCUUUGGAGCUGUGGAAGCUCCUGACUCCAGAGAGUCAGCAGAGCUCUCAUGGCUCUGGUUGCCAAUGACUGCCCCUCAAACAAGACAUAGAACCUGCAUUGUCCAUAGGAAAAGCCAGCAAACUCCAAAAAGCCAGACUCCCAGAUCUUGCAGAUGUCUCUAACCCACCAAGAAGCAGCAAGACAAGGGUACAAGGACCAUUUAUUUUCCUCCUCACAGGCCACCUUUGAGCAUUGAUAGAGCAGUAGCAGAGGAAAAGUGCUUGAAGCAGUUAAGAACAAGCCAGGGAAACUCAGCCUGCACCUUGUCUCCUUAAACUACCUCAGCUCUAGGGCAUCACACCAACAGAGCCUCAAGUGUCUGAGUCAGCAGGACAGCAAUGUCAGCACUGGCAUUCCUCACCUCAGAGCUGCUGAACCGAGCACCUUCACACGAGUGUUUCUUUUCCUCUGGGAGGUUUAUCCCACACAGUUAAUUUAAUGAUUAAAUAUUUGACCAUUUGUUCUGCUACAUAAAUAAACAGAUUUUAGGUGAAUUAUAUGGAAAAAUACUAUUUUCAUAUUUCCAAAUUUUUCAUAAAGUAAUAUUAGAUAAGCCACCACUUGGACUGAGGGCAAAUGUAGCACAUCAAUAAUUUUGAAACAUUUUAAAUAUCAGAAAUGUGUAAAAUGAAGAUUGUAUUCAAAGUUUUUUUCCCACCCUUUUAGCUGCCCUCAAAGCCUUGAGCAAGGGAAUAAGUGUAGCUUCAAAUGGGAACUUUAGUAGAAUUCAAUUUUAAAUUCACCAGUUUCUAAUUAUAUCCUUUCUGUGGCAAAGUUCAAAUGCCUGGCUCUCUCUGUGAUUCCCUGGCUGUAGGCAGCAUUCACCAUGUACUUGUCCAGAGAUUAGAGGCAUCUCAUAAUACUGAUUUUGGUGGUGCAGCUUCCUUGUUUCCUUCUUACUUGAGAGCAAAACCAGAUCUUGUUCUGAGGAUCUCUGACAGUGGCUAUUCCAUGUCUGGCAGUCACUACAGUCUAAUUCUGCUGGACGUAAUUACCAUAAUUUAUUCCCUGUAGAUGGUUUCUAAAAAUAGAGGUAGGUAUGAUCCUUGCCCUACAAGGCUCACACAAAAGACAGAGAAUUAAAAAGACUGGCAGAUAGGAGAGAAAAAGUAAAAGAAGCAACAGCUAUGGCAAGUACGCAGAGAGAGAUAAAUUAAAUCCAAAUUAGUCCUUUGGUGUGAUAGUGAGACUGAAUAAGCAAGUUUAUUAAAGAGAAAAAAUAUAAUUCAGCUAAAAGAUAGAGAUGCAUGAAUAGCUCUGAGAAUAACACACAGAACCACAGCAUCCUAAUGGUAUAAACUCCACACUAAAAUUGAAAAAGCCUUUCCUUCAGUUCAAAUCACUUGUCUCUGGUGUCACCCUGUCAGUGUGAGCCAGUAAGUAGCUUUGUCCUUCCUCAGGAACCCCAUCUCUCUCCUACAACUGACUUUAAAAUGCAUCAUUAUCUCAUUUCCUUGUCACAUCCCAAAUUGUUUUUAGAGUCUGUUGGGAUCUCCACAGCUGAUGAAAAAGCUGUGAGCACAGUCCUUGAUGUCCAGGCUCCUCAACAGACCUUGGAUCACACUUCGCCUUCCAGGCUGGAUGCUCUUGUUGCACAAGGAUUUCCUGAGGGCUUUACUCAUCUUGUUGCUUCCUGUAAGUCUCUGUGGAUGUGUCCUUCGCAGACAGCUCAGCCACGUGCUCAUGUUUAUGUGCAGCACAUUUUACCUGGUGGGACACCUGGUGUCUCCAGCACAGGGAGUCCUUCUGCCUUCCUUGCCUUUGGAACAGGCUGCUUUUGGGGAAAAGUCUAUGUCAUAAGAAAGCCUCCAUGGAUGGGGAAAAGAUAUCAAUAAAACAAUUUAUUGCUCCAAUUCUGAAAUUCCCCUGCAACCUUUACCCUAAUAUAUCACUGUGCUUGCUAGUAUAUCAGUGGUUGACUUGCCCUAUAAAGCCACGGAAUUUUCUCCUUUCCUUUGUGUGCAGGAAUUUCUAGAUAAUCUG